rnacentral:rRNA from 1 species
UACGGGGGGGGCAAGCGUUGUUCGGAAUUACUGGGCGUAAAGGGCGCGUAGGCGGCCUGCUAAGUCACACGUGAAAUCCCUCGGCUCAACCGGGGAACUGCGUGUGAUACUGGCGGGCUUGAAUUCGGGAGAGGGAUGUGGAAUUCCAGGUGUAGCGGUGAAAUGCGUAGAUAUCUGGAGGAACACCGGUGGCGAAGGCAGCAUCCUGGACCGAGAUUGACGCUGAGGCGCGAAAGCUAGGGGAGCAAACGGG